rnacentral:rRNA from 1 species
UGGGGAAUAUUGGGCAAUGGGCGAAAGCCUGACCCAGCAACGCCGCGUGAAGGAAGAAGGUCUUCGGAUUGUAAACUUCUUUUAUGAGGGACGAAGGACGUGACGGUACCUCAUGAAUAAGCCACGGCUAACUACGUGCCAGCAGCCGCGGUAAUACGUAGGUGGCAAGCGUUAUCCGGAUUUACUGGGUGUAAAGGGCGCGUAGGCGGGGAUGCAAGUCAGAUGUGAAAUCUAUGGGCUCAACCCAUAAACUGCAUUUGAAACUGUAUCUCUUGAGUGCUGGAGAGGUAGAUGGAAAUUCCUUGUGUAGCGGUGAAAUGCGUAGAUAUAAGGAAGAACACCAGUGGCGAAGGCGAUCUACUGGACAGUAAACUGACGCUGAGGCGCGAGAGCGUGGGAGCAAACAAGGAUUAGAUACCC